rnacentral:rRNA from 1 species
GUGCCAGCCGCCGCGGUAAUACGGAGGGUGCAAGCGUUAUUCGGAAUUACUGGGCGUAAAGGGCGCGCAGGCGGCCUUGUAAGUCAGUUGUGAAAGCCCGGGGCUCAACCUCGGAAGUGCGACUGAAACUGCAGGGCUUGAGUAUGGUAGAGGGAAGUGGAAUUCCAGGUGUAGCGGUGAAAUGCGUAGAUAUCUGGAGGAACACCGGUGGCGAAGGCGACUUCCUGGACCAAAACUGACGCUGAGGCGCGAAGGCGUGGGUAGCAAACAGGAUUAGAAACCCCUGUAGUC